rnacentral:rRNA from 1 species
UGGGGAAUAUUGGACAAUGGGCGCAAGCCUGAUCCAGCCAUGCCGCGUGAGUGAUGAAAGGCCCUUAGGGUUGUAAAGCUCUUUCGCCGACGAAAGAUAAUGACGGUAGUCGGAGAAGAAGCCCCGGCUAACUUCGUGCCAGCAGCCGCGGUAAUACGAAGGGGGCUAGCGUUGUUCGGAAUCACUGGGCGUAAAGCGCACGUAGGCGGAUUGUUAAGUCAGGGGUGAAAGCCUGGAGCUCAACUCCAGAACUGCCCUUGAUACUGGCAAUCUCGAGUCCGGAAGAGGUAAGUGGAACUGCGAGUGUAGAGGUGAAAUUCGUAGAUAUUCGCAAGAACACCAGUGGCGAAGGCGGCUUACUGGUCCGGUACUGACGCUGAGGUGCGAAAAGCGUGGGGAGCAAAACAGGAUUAGAUACCCUGGUAGUCCACGCCGUAAACGAUGGAGGCUAGCCGUUGGCGAGCAUGCUCGUCAGUGGCGCAGCUAACGCAUUAAGCCUCCCCGCCCUGGGGGAGUACGGUCGCAAGAUUAAAAACUUAAAUGAAUUGACGGGGGUCAUAGCUGUUUU